rnacentral:rRNA from 1 species
UUAAAGGAAUUGACGGAAGGGCACCACAAGGAGUGGAGCCUGCGGCUUAAUUUGACUCAACACGGGAAAAUUUAUCAGGCCAGGACACCGGAAGGAUUGACAGAUUGAGAGCUCUUUCUUGAUUCGGUGGGUUGUGGUGCAUGGCCGUUCUUAGUUGGUGGGGUGACUUGUCUGGUUAAUUCCGGUAACGAACGAGACUCUAGCCUGCUAACUAGUCGUCCGGCAUCCUAUGCGCAGCCGGCGACUUCUAAUCUUCUUAGAGGGACAGCCAGCGUCUAGCUGAACGAGAAUGAGCAAUAACAGGUCUGUAAUGCCCUUAGAUGUCCUGGGCCGCACGCGCGCUACACUGAAGGCAGCAGCGAGUGUUUUCCUAUCCAGAGAUGGACGGGUAACCCGUUGAAACUCUUUCGUGCUAGGGAUUGGGGCUUGUAAUUUUUCCCCACGAACGAGGAAUUCCUAGUAAACGUGAGUCAUAAGCUCGCGUUGAUUAUGUCCCUGCCCUUUGUCCACACCGCCCGUCGCUACUACCGAUUGAAUGAUUUAGUAAGGUCUUCGGACCAGUGCUCGGCGCCCUCACCCGGAGGCCGAUGUCACGGGAAAGAUGACCGAACUUGAUCAUUUAGAGGAAGUAAAAGUCGUAACAAGGUUUCC